CCUACGGGCGGCAGCAGUGGGGAAUAUUGCACAAUGGGGGAAACCCUGAUGCAGCGACGCCGCGUGAAGGAAGAAGUAUUUCGGUAUGUAAACUUCUAUCAGCAGGGGAGAAAAGGACGGUACCUGACUAAGAAGCCCCGGCUAACUACGUGCCAGCAGCCGUGGUAAGACGCCGGGGGCAGGCGUUAUCCGGAUUUACUGGGUGUAAAGGGGGCGUAGGCGGGGAUGCAAGUCAGAAGUGAAAGCCCGGGGCUCAACUCCGGGACUGCUUUUGAAACUGUGUUGCUAGAUUGCAGGAGAGGUAAGUGGAAUUCGUAGUGUAGCGGUGAAAUGCGUAGAUAUUAGGAGGAACCCCAGUGGCGAAGGCGGCUUACUGGACUGUAAAUGACGCUGAGGCUCGAAAGCGUGGGUAGCAAACAGGAUUAGAUACCCUUGUAGUC
rnacentral:rRNA from 1 species